rnacentral:rRNA from 1 species
UACGUAGGGUGCAAGCGUUGUCCGGAAUUAUUGGGCGUAAAGAGCUCGUAGGCGGUUUGUUGCGUCGGCUGUGAAAUCCCGAGGCUCAACCUCGGGUCUGCAGUCGAUACGAGCAAACUAGAGUGUUGCAGGGGAGACUGGAAUUCCUGGUGUAGCGGUGAAAUGCGCAGAUAUCAGGAGGAACACCGGUGGCGAAGGCGGGUCUCUGGGCCGAUACUGACGCUGAGAAGCGAAAGCGUGGGGAGCGAACAGG